rnacentral:rRNA from 1 species
UACAGAGGGUGCAAGCGUUAAUCGGAUUUACUGGGCGUAAAGCGUGCGUAGGCGGUUCAUUAAGUCGGUUGUGAAAUCCCUGUGCUUAACCUGGGAACUGCAGUCGAUACUGGUGGACUAGAGUACGGUAGAGGGUGGCGGAACUCCGGGUGUAGCGGUGAAAUGCGUAGAUAUCCGGAAGAACACCGAUGGCGAAGGCAACCACCUGGGCCUGUACUGACGCUGAGGUGCGAAAGCGUGGGGAGCAAACAGG